UACGUAGGUGGCAAGCGUUGUCCGGAUUUAUUGGGCUUAAAGGGUGCGUAGGCGGCCCUGUAAGUCAGUGGUGAAAUAUCUCAGCUUAACUGAGAGGGUGCCAUUGAUACUGCAGGGCUUGAGUACAGAUGAGGUAGGCGGAAUUGACGGUGUAGCGGUGAAAUGCAUAGAUAUCGUCAAGAACACCGAUAGCGAAGGCAGCUUACCAAGCUGUAACUGACACUGAGGCACGAAAGUGUGGGGAUCAAACAGG
rnacentral:rRNA from 1 species